GCCCUCGUAGUUCAAUGGACAGAACGAGCGCCUCCUAAGCGCUAGGUCCAGGUUCGACUCCUGGCGGGGGCA
rnacentral:tRNA from 3 species